GAUGAACGCUGGCGGCGUGCCCAAUACAUGCAAGUCGAGCGAACGGACGAGAAGCUUGCUUUUCUGAUGUUAGCGGCGGACGGGUGAGUAACACGUGGAUAACCUACCUAUAAGACUGGGAUAACUUCGGGAAACCGGAGCUAAUACCGGAUAAUAUUUUGAACCGCAUGGUUCAAAAGUGAAAGACGGUCUUGCUGUCACUUAUAGAUGGAUCCGCGCUGCAUUAGCUAGUUGGUAAGGUAACGGCUUACCAAGGCAACGAUGCAUAGCCGACCUGAGAGGGUGAUCGGCCACACUGGAACUGAGACACGGUCCAGACUCCUACGGGAGGCAGCAGUAGGGAAUCUUCCGCAAUGGGCGAAAGCCUGACGGAGCAACGCCGCGUGAGUGAUGAAGGUCUUCGGAUCGUAAAACUCUGUUAUUAGGGAAGAACAUAUGUGUAAGUAACUGUGCACAUCUUGAUGGUACCUAAUCAGAAAGCCACGGCUAACUACGUG
rnacentral:rRNA from 1 species